UUGGGCACGCGAUGUGUAGGAUAGGUCGGAGGCAAUGAAUCGGGCACGCCAGUGUUCGUGGAGCCGCUGUUGAAAUACGACCCUUCGUUUGUUUGAGUUCUAACUUCAGGAAAGAAGGACAUUGCUUGGUGGGUAGUUUGACUGGGGUGGUCGCCUCCAAAAGCGUAACGGAGGCUUCUAAAGGUACCCUCAGGCCGAUCGGUAACCGGCCCAAGAGUG
rnacentral:rRNA from 1 species